UGCAAGUCGAGCGAAUGGAUUAAGAGCUUGCUCUUAUGAAGUUAGCGGCGGACGGGUGAGUAACACGUGGGUAACCUGCCCAUAAGACUGGGAUAACUCCGGGAAACCGGGGCUAAUACCGGAUAACAUUUUGAACCGCAUGGUUCGAAAUUGAAAGGCGGCUUCGGCUGUCACUUAUGGAUGGACCCGCGUCGCAUUAGCUAGUUGGUGAGGUAACGGCUCACCAAGGCAACGAUGCGUAGCCGACCUGAGAGGGUGAUCGGCCACACUGGGACUGAGACACGGCCCAGACUCCUACGGGAGGCAGCAGUAGGGAAUCUUCCGCAAUGGACGAAAGUCUGACGGAGCAACGCCGCGUGAGUGAUGAAGGCUUUCGGGUCGUAAAACUCUGUUGUUAGGGAAGAACAAGUGCUAGUUGAAUAAGCUGGCACCUUGACGGUACCUAACCAGAAAGCCACGGCUAACUACGUGCCAGCAGCCGCGGUAAUACGUAGGUGGCAAGCGUUAUCCGGAAUUAUUGGGCGUAAAGCGCGCGCAGGUGGUUUCUUAAGUCUGAUGUGAAAGCCCACGGCUCAACCGUGGAGGGUCAUUGGAAACUGGGAGACUUGAGUGCAGAAGAGGAAAGUGGAAUUCCAUGUGUAGCGGUGAAAUGCGUAGAGAUAUGGAGGAACACCAGUGGCGAAGGCGACUUUCUGGUCUGUAACUGACACUGAGGCGCGAAAGCGUGGGG
rnacentral:rRNA from 1 species